CCGGGAAAAUCAUAAAAUGAUCUCCAUAAAGUAUCACCCCAGUGAGAUUUCCUUUUAGGAAAAAUGCUUUCGUUGAAAACCGGAGCGAAAUUUCUAGUAGAAAAGCUGUCCAUAGAAGAGAAAAAAAAAAGAAAGAAAAAACAACGUCAUUGUAAAACCAAUACAUUCCUCGCACCGGUCAAAAUCGCAUAGAGUUGAACAUUUUCGAGUGUAGUGAACCGCGCUAAAUGGUACGACUCAAAACUAUAUGUUUACGAAUAGUCGCCUGUGACCGACAGCGUA